rnacentral:lncRNA from 1 species
AUUGGAACGAUCCUACAGCACCCCAGCUUGUACCCCAACACUCACAAAUACUCAAUGAUGACCCUAUGGGUAGAAUUGUGUCCCCUAAAAUUCAUAUAUUGAAGCCCCAAUCCCUAGUGAAGCUACCUGUAGCCCCUGAUGCUGCGGACGCCACUGCGAGGUGCCAUGGCAGGGGCGGUGCUGAAAGCCACCCACAGCUCCUGGGGUGGGUGGGGCAUAGGGCCGAGUGCUUGUGUCCCUCCAACUCACUGUGCGACAUCAGAGGCUUACUGAUGCUCAGCUCUGCUGGGAAAUAAGGUUCUUUUCUUCCCUCCCCUCCCCUCCCCUCCCUACCUCCUUCCUUUAUCCCCAUCCCUCCAACCCCCAGUCUGACCUCUUUCAUUGGCUUUAAGCUCAACCAAAAGGGAAGGGAAAAGAAGAGAAGACAGGGAGGAAGGAAGGAAGGGGGAAGAAAUGAAAGGAAAGGAAUGAAAGAGGGAGAGAAGGAAGGAAAAAAAAGAAAAGACAAAGGAAAGAAAGCAGCUUCGAGGCAUUUGGCUCUGGCCUGAGGAACUGUGCAGGUGUGAGGGGUGGGCCUGGGCAGGUGAGCACCUGUCCCCCAUCCCUCUACUCUCAGGGCCAGUGGGGAUGCUGCCUGUGGCCCCAGGGAUGACAGCUCUGACCAGGAAAAGCAGCUGGCCAUCCCUGGGCCUCUCUGGAGUCCUGUACUUCCCGACGUAUCCAGCCCCCAGCAACCCAGGAGGGUUGGGUCUGCCUCAACCCUGACAAAAGGGCAGCCUGACAGGAAGAAGGAAAUUUGGACACAGAGAAGAAAGCCACAACAGAGGCAGAGGCUAGAGCAAGGCGGCUGCAAACCCCGGCCCGGGGAAGAUUGCUGGCCCCCACCAGAACCUGGGAGGAAGCAGGAAGGAGCCUCCCCGCAGCCUUCGGAGGGAGCACGGCCCCGCCAACACUCUGAUUUUGGACGUCAGACCCCCAGAACUGCAAAAGGAGUUCCGGUUGUUUUCGGCCACCCCGUCUGUGGUACACUGUUUUGUCAGCCUGAGGAACCUCCAUACUGUUCACAUGAGUUCCAGGGCACCUGCGAAAGCCCACGUGCUGGGGCUGGGCUGGGGGUGCUGCUCUCCGCUUUGUUGAUAUCAUGAAACAGGGCAGAAACCACAGCCUCAGAGCUGACCUCUGCGGCAGGGC